AAAUUGAAGAGUUUGAUCAUGGCUCAGAUUGAACGCUGGCGGCAGGCCUAACACAUGCAAGUCGAGCGGAAACGAGUUAUCUGAACCUUUGGGGGACGAUAACGGCGUCGAGCGGCGGACGGGUGAGUAAUGCCUAGGAAAUUGCCCUGAUGUGGGGGAUAACCAUUGGAAACGAUGGCUAAUACCGCAUGAUGCCUACGGGCCAAAGAGGGGGACCUUCGGGCCUCUCGCGUCAGGAUAUGCCUAGGUGGGAUUAGCUAGUUGGUGAGGUAAGGGCUCACCAAGGCGACGAUCCCUAGCUGGUCUGAGAGGAUGAUCAGCCACACUGGAACUGAGACACGGUCCAGACUCCUACGGGAGGCAGCAGUGGGGAAUAUUGCACAAUGGGCGCAAGCCUGAUGCAGCCAUGCCGCGUGUGUGAAGAAGGCCUUCGGGUUGUAAAGCACUUUCAGUCGUGAGGAAGGCGGCGUCGUUAAUAGCGGCGUUGUUUGACGUUAGCGACAGAAGAAGCACCGGCUAACUCCGUGCCAGCAGCCGCGGUAAUACGGAGGGUGCGAGCGUUAAUCGGAAUUACUGGGCGUAAAGCGCAUGCAGGUGGUUUGUUAAGUCAGAUGUGAAAGCCCGGGGCUCAACCUCGGAAUUGCAUUUGAAACUGGCAGACUAGAGUACUGUAGAGGGGGGUAGAAUUUCAGGUGUAGCGGUGAAAUGCGUAGAGAUCUGAAGGAAUACCGGUGGCGAAGGCGGCCCCCUGGACAGAUACUGACACUCAG
rnacentral:rRNA from 1 species